rnacentral:tRNA from 1 species
GGGCCUGUAGCUCAGUUGGUUAGAGCGCAGUCCUGAUAAGACUGAGGUCGCUGGUUCGAGCCCAGCCAGGCCCACAC